rnacentral:lncRNA from 1 species
AUGAUGCAAGGCAUUAUAAAGGCCAUUAAAGCUACAACCAAAGGAAAAGACUUGGAAUUUUCAAAUGAAAAUGGAGUGAAACAAUGGAGAGGCGCCUUUCUUUAUUUGUCGUGUUUCAAAUCGCCCCAUUACAAAACUAAAUACUCGCUACACUUUCAAAAUCAUUACAUCAUCACAAGUCCUUUACACCAUACCAAGAAAUACAUCAAUUUUGUUCAAGAAUAA